GGGCGCAUAGCUCAGUGGUAGAGCGUCGCAUUUACACUGCGAAGGCCCAAGGUUCAAAUCCUUGUGCGCCCA
rnacentral:tRNA from 1 species